UGGGGAAUUUUGGACAAUGGGCGCAAGCCUGAUCCAGCCAUACCGCGUGAGUGAAGAAGGCCUUCGGGUUGUAAAGCUCUUUCAGACGGAAAGAAACGGUUACGGCUAAUACCCGUGACUAAUGACGGUACCGUAAGAAGAAGCACCGGCUAACUACGUGCCAGCAGCCGCGGUAAUACGUAGGGUGCGAGCGUUAAUCGGAAUUACUGGGCGUAAAGCGUGCGCAGGCGGUUUUGUAAGACAGACGUGAAAUCCCCGGGCUUAACCUGGGAACUGCGUUUGUGACUGCAAGGCUAGAGUACGGCAGAGGGGGGUAGAAUUCCACGUGUAGCAGUGAAAUGCGUAGAUAUGUGGAGGAAUACCGAUGGCGAAGGCAGCCCCCUGGGAUAACACUGACGCUCAUGCACGAAAGCGUGGGGAGCAAACAGGAUUAGAUACCCUCGUAGUCCCUGAGCGGGCUGGCAAGGCGCAU
rnacentral:rRNA from 1 species